GGGAAUUCAUCUUUCCUGGUGACAUUUCAGUUUGGAAGCAACUAAAAAAUAAGAUGCAGGAAACAGGCGAACACUUAAAUGUCAACUUUAUGGCAGAUCAAAGCUGGAUUGGGGGACACGGUGCAAAUGAGCAGCCUCCAUGAACUUCCUAUCCCAUUCCUGUCACAGCAAAUGUAGACAGACUAUUCAACCAGUCACAGGAGCGCUGCCCUGUCUGAGCAGCCCAGAAUCUACUCUCAGGCAAGUCCUAAAGAGAAUACCUGGUGAGGCUUCCCACCUCAACUUCUCCCUUGAAAUCUUCACACCAGAAGGUGAUCUGGUUUCAUGCUCUACCUCCCACCAUGGUCUUGAAAUAUAAAGGAGGGCAGCUGACAUGAGAUCCAUGGGGAUUAAUAUUUCCUGGUGACAUUUCAGGUAAAAUAUUGGGUGGAGAAAAUAUUACCGGAUGGGAACCAUUCUUCUUGCCGGGAGAGUCAGGCCAGAGAGACUCCAGGAAUGUGGCUCCAAUAGAGACCCCUCCACAGGGAAGCAAGAAGUAGGGGAUGGAGUUUCCAUUUCACAACCCAUAUCCACCCUGUGGGCACUCGCAUUGUUAUUGCUUUCUGAAAUAAAGAACUACCUCACAUCUGCGUAGAAAUCAA
rnacentral:lncRNA from 10 species